UAAAGCCCGCCCAUCACGAUGUGUUGCAGUGUCCAAUAAAAACAGAGAGAACAGACACGUAGGUAGUAAGUGUUCAAAAUCCCCUUUUAUUGGUUGUUGGCAUCCAGGUGAACCAAUGGCACAAGAGUAAGAUUUAAUCACCAAAAAAAUAAAACAGAGAGUUCCAGUUUCACAAAGUAAAAAAAAAUAAAAAAAAGUGGAUUUUUUAUUUUAUUUAUAUAGUUACAUUUAGUAAAUUACCCAGAAACACUUGAGUCAUACACAGGCAUUACCAAGAACUACAGUGAGGUACUCUAACCUCUCACCUGUGUGAACCAACAGUCAACACACACAUAUCCAUCCACUAACACCACAUCAUUGACCUCUUGGACUAGAUCACAGUGGAUCACAUUUACAUGAUAAUGGAGGAGAUGAAGCACCAGAUUCCAGUUGUGGAGGAGGAGUGAAACCAGGAAGUGAGAUGGUUUUUAUAUCAAUGACCAACAGAUCGUUCUCCAUGAUAAUGGCUGUGCCUUUAGAGAGGGAAAUUAAAAGAAAUUCUUCCAGUCAGAGAGGUUUUAACGUCCGAACGGGAUCGGCGAUCCCGUCAGAGAGGUUAACGUCCGACCGGGAUCGGGGAUCCCGUCAGAGAGGUUAACGUCCGACCGGGAUCGGGGAUCCCGUCAGAGAGGUUAACGUCCGACCGGGAUCGGGGAUCCAGUCAGAGAGGUUAACGUCCCACCAGAUCAGAGCUCUGGACAGCUGUAAGGACACACACUUCCUUCAUGAAAACAACAUUUAACAGGUUAUUUCCUGUCUGGGAGAUCAAAAUCUCCACCAAUGAGCUCACAGCUAGAGGAAGACAUAAUUUCCUCUAGGUUAACAUUGUAAAUUUCCUGUGAUUCAAUAUGAGAUGAGGGACUAAAACCCAUUCCAGAAUCCGCUUCCAGUUUUUACACAACGCUCAGAGACCAGCGGGUCUCUACUUCCAGACAGGCCCGGAUUCAAUACCAUCACUGCUUUUUUUAGACAAUGCGCCAUUUAAAAAAUACAAAUAAAAUGGCGCAUUGUCCAAAAAUCUCCAACCAAUGAGCUCACAGCUAGAUGAUGACAUCAUUUCCUUUAGGUUACACAUUGGAACAUUUUACAUUUCCUGUGAUUCAAUAUUAUGAGAUGAGGGAGUAAAACCCCAUUCCAGAAUCCACUUCCAGUUUUUCCACGGCGCUCAGAGUCCAGCGGGUCUCUACUUCCAGACAGAACCGAUUCUGUAUCAUCACUGCUUUUAUUUCUUCUUCUAAAAGGGUCAUUUCAAAAUAAGCCGACAUAUGCAGCGUUUACCGUAAACAUUGCAUUGUGGGAUUGAAUCCUGGCCAACAAAAUCAGGUCAUGGAUGAUAAAUCAGUGGUUUAAUACAGAGACAGACAGGUGGAGGGAGACACCUGGAUACAAAGACCAAAAUAAACACACAGAGACGGAUAGAGAGAGAGAGAGAGAGAGACGGAUAGAGAGAGAGAGACGGAUAGAGACAGAUAGAGAGAGAGAGAGACAGAGAGACAGAUAGAGAGAGAGAGAGAGAGACGAUAGAGAGAGAGACGGAUAGAGAGACGAUAGAGAGAGAGACGGAUAGAGAGACGGAUAGAGAGAGAGACGGAUAGAGAGACGGAUAGAGAGAGAGACAGAGAGACGGAUAGAGAGAGAGACGGAUAGAGAGAGAGACGGAUAGAGAGAGAGACGGAUAGAGAGAGAGACGGAUAGAGAGAGAGACGGAUAGAGAGAGAGACGGAUAGAGAGACGGAUAGAGAGACGGAUAGAGAGACGGAUAGAGAGAGAGACGGAUAGAGAGAGAGACGGAUAGAGAGACGGAUAGAGACGGAUAGAGACGGAUAGAGACGGAUAGAGACGGAUAGAGACGGAUAGAGAGAGAGAGAGAGAGAGACGGAUAGAGAGAGAGAGAGACGGAUAGAGAGACGGAUAGAGAGACGGAUAGAGACGGAUAGAGACGGAUAGAGACGGAUAGAGACGGAUAGAGACGGAUAGAGACGGAUAGAGACGGAUAGAGACGGAUAGAGAGAGAGAGAGAGAGAGAGAGAGAGACGGAUAGAGAGAGAGAGAGACGGAUAGAGAGAGAGAGAGACGGAUAGAGAGACGGAUAGAGAGACGGAUAGAGAGACGGAUAGAGAGACGGAUAGAGAGACGGAUAGAGAGACGGAUAGAGAGACGGAUAGAGAGACGGAUAGAGAGACGGAUAGAGAGACGGAUAGAGAGAGAGAGACGGAUAGAGAGAGAGAGACGGAUAGAGAGAGAGAGAGUUCAGUUGAAGAAGUGUUUAGCUAAGAGGGGAGGGGCUUUAAAAAAGCGCUCUGUGUGUGUGGGGGGGGGGGGUCAGCUGUUUGAGAAUGGGCCAAUCAUACAUCUGGGACUGAGUGACACAUCGAGCCACGCUGCUAUUGGACGGGGGGAAAAGUGCACAGCCCCACUAACUUUGGCAACAAAUACAGGUGGGUACUGCAGAAUGGAACUAGAGGGGGGAAAGGGAGAGAGAGAGAGGGGGGGGAAAGGGAGAGAGAGAGAGGGGGGAAAGGGAGAGAGAGAGAGGGGGAGAGGGAGAGAGAGAGAGGGGGAAAGGGAGAGAG
rnacentral:lncRNA from 1 species